rnacentral:ncRNA from 1 species
CCUAAAAUGGUCAUUAGAGACAAGUCUUUAACCAAUUCUUUCCAAGAGAGCGAGUGUGUGGUGCGAACUCGUAUUGUGAUUGCUAAAGAUACCACUCUGAUAAUUCUUUCUGAGAACAGAAAGCGUGGCUGACACGUUACGUCAAAGAUGAGAUAUUUUUGAAGCUUUUUAUGCUGAAAAAAUUAAGAAGGUGGUAACACGCAGAUCGCGUCCUUUAG